GACGAACGCUGGCGGCGUGCCUAAUACAUGCAAGUAGAACGCUGAAGGAGGAGCUUGCUUCUCUGGAUGAGUUGCGAACGGGUGAGUAACGCGUAGGUAACCUGCCUGGUAGCGGGGGAUAACUAUUGGAAACGAUAGCUAAUACCGCAUAAUAGCAGUUGUUGCAUGACAACUGUUUGAAAGGUGCAAUUGCACCACUACCAGAUGGACCUGCGUUGUAUUAGCUAGUUGGUGGGGUAACGGCUCACCAAGGCGACGAUACAUAGCCGACCUGAGAGGGUGAUCGGCCACACUGGGACUGAGACACGGCCCAGAACCCUACGGGAGGCAGCGGUAGGGAAUCUUCGGCAAUGGACGGAAGUCUGAACGAGCAACGCCGCGUGAGUGAAGAAGGUUUUCGGAUCGUAAAGCUCUGUUGUAAGAGAAGAACGAGUGUGAGAGUGGAAAGUUCACACUGUGACGGUAUCUUACCAGAAAGGGACGGCUAACUACGUG
rnacentral:rRNA from 1 species